rnacentral:rRNA from 1 species
UAGAGCGGCGGACGGGUGAGUAACACGUGGACAAUCUGCCCCCCGGCCCGGGAUAGCCCAGGGAAACCUGGAUUAAUACCGGAUGAGACGGGACCCGCGAUGGCGGGAUCCGGGAAAGGCGCUGCGGCGCCGCCGGGGAUGAGUCUGCGUCCCAUUAGCUGGACGGCGGGGUAACGGCCCACCGUGGCGACGAUGGGUAGCCGGCCUGAGAGGGUGGACGGCCACAUUGGAACUGAGACACGGUCCAGACUCCUACGGGAGGCAGCAGCUAAGAAUCUUCCGCAAUGGGCGAAAGCCUGACGGAGCGACGCCGCGUGAACGAAGAAGGCCGUGAGGUUGUAAAGUUCUUUUCGGGAGGGGGAACAACCGUGGCAGGGAAUGGCCGCGGGAUGACGUGAAUCCCGGAAUAAGCCCCGGCUAACUACGUGCCAGCAGCUGC